rnacentral:tRNA from 1 species
UGUAAAAUAGCAUAAUUAUGUGCAUUAGGUUUAGGACUUAAGGGUAGAAUAUAAAUUCUUUUUACAA